rnacentral:rRNA from 1 species
UACGGAGGAUCCGAGCGUUAUCCGGAUUUAUUGGGUUUAAAGGGUGCGCAGGCGGGAGAUUAAGUCGGCGGUGAAAUUUUGCAGCUCAACUGUAAAAGUGCCUUCGAUACUGGUUUCCUUGAGUGUGGAUGAAGUAGGCGGAAUUUGUGGUGUAGCGGUGAAAUGCUUAGAUAUCACGAGGAACUCCGAUUGCGCAGGCAGCUUACUAAACUACUACUGACGCUCAGGCACGAAGGCGUGGGGAUCAAACAGGAUUAGAUACCCGUGUAGU